rnacentral:rRNA from 1 species
ACUCCUACGGGAGGCAGCAGUGGGGAAUAUUGCACAAUGGGGAAACCCUGAUGCAGCCAUGCCGCGUGUGUGAAGAAGGCCUUCGGUUGUAAAGCACUUUCAGUAGGGAGGAAGGUAGUGUAGUUAACACCUGCAUUAUUUGACGUUACCUACAGAAGAAGCACCGGCUAACUCCGUGCCAGCAGCCGCGGUAAUACGGAGGGGUGCGAGCGUUAAUCGGAAUUACUGGGCGUAAAGCGCAUGCAGGCGGCCUGUUAAGUCAGAUGUGAAAGCCCGGGGGCUUAACCUCGGAAUUGCAUUUGAAACUGGCAGGCUAGAGUCUUGUAGAGGGGGUAGAAUUUCAGGUGUAGCGGUGAAAUGCGUAGAGAUCUGAAGGAAUACCAGUGGCGAAGGCGGCCCCCUGGACAAAGACUGACGCUCAGAUGCGAAAGCGUAGGGAGCAAACAGGAUUAGAUACCCUGGUAGCACAGAG